UAAAUUCUAAGUCACGGUAAAAACUUGUGUAAAAUGGUUCAGGGAUGCAUAAUAAAUAGUGAACAUAUAAUGAAAGUCUGUUAAAUGCAAGCACAGAUUCAUAUUGUUCUACAGAUGUAUACUGUAUAGCCACAGUGGGAGAUCACUUGCUUUAUAUAUAACCUCAUGUUUAUUUUACUGCCAAUUUAUCAAUGGAAAUGCCAAAUGGUAACACACACUUAUGCACAUACAAAGAAGCUCUUCUUGAUCUCAUCCAAGAUGCUAGGGGACUUACGUCGGUAAUGGAUAUGCAUUACUGACUCCUCAUUACGUCAUCCUGCUAGCAGUGUUUCCCAGUCAAUCGCCUGGAUCUCCUAGGAGCUAAUGUCUUCCACACAUCUGGAUGGAAACUCUGGUGGAUGCAUACAGUAGCUUCAAAGACAGAGAUCAUGUGGAGUCGCCAGCACCUCUGGGAUUGAGGAAAUGACCAGUGACAGGCACUCAGGAAGAUGCUGAAACAGCCACCGUCACCCACUGUGAUUCACUAUACCCCUGUGUGUAUUAUUAGAGAUGCGGAGAGGAAAGAUAGCCUUGUAGACUGCUGACAGCAUUCAUCCCUUUUCCCCUCAAUGAUAUCAUUUGAACCACUUCCCCUCAUCCUCCGGGUGUAUAUUUCCAAACCUCGGUCAGAUUUCUCUCUAAGCUCAGCUUUUAGUGAAGAGUGAGGCCUACCAGGAGUACUCUUGUGUUUCCUCUGUUGGAUACACAAGCAGCCAUUCUCUAUCUCAAAGGUAAACAGUGGGCGGCCACUGAGGAAUCUCCCUGCUGAGUUCAUUUACACUGCAGGAUGGGGAUGCAGCUCCAUGCAGAGGGAGAAAUACAGCCAGGAGUCCCAGAAAGACACAAGAACUCUUGUUACAAUGUACUUUGUUUAGUUCAUUAAUGUUCCUUUUUAAGCUGCUUAACUGUAUUUUGCUCGACUGCAUACUGUGUUACAUCAAGUGACAGAUUUUGCUGGCUGAUUAAAUCUGUGUCAUAAUAAUUGAACUAAAUUAUUUUCUUCCACUGAUGGAUUUCUCUUUUGUGGUCAUUUUGUUUUUAAUUUUUCAGUCUCAGUUCUGAAUUUGAAGCACAUGAGUUGAGUCAAGUUAACUACCUUAACUUACUUAAAUGUAAACAUGAUCGACAUUAACAAAUAUUGAAUUAAAGUAACAUUACUGGA